rnacentral:rRNA from 1 species
UACGUAGGCAGCGAGCGUUGUUCGGAGUUACUGGGCGUAAAGGGUGCGUAGGGGGUUGUUUAAGUUUGGUGUGAAAUCUCCCGGCUCAACUGGGAGGGUGCGCCGAAUACUGAAUGACUAGAGUGCGGGAGAGGAUAGUGGAAUUCCUGGUGUAGCGGUGAAAUGCGUAGAUAUCAGGAGGAACACCGGUGGUGUAGACGGCUAUCUGGACCGUAACUGACGCUGAGGCACGAAAGCGUGGGGAGCGAACAGG